GGGAGGUUAAGUUUUCCGGCUUACGGCUUUUUAAGCCGUAGGUCCUAGGUUCGAGCCCUAGCACUCUCA
rnacentral:tRNA from 1 species